UGAGGGAUAUUGCACAAUGGAGGGAACUCUGAUGCAGCAAUGCCGCGUGAGUGAAGGAGGCCCUAUGGGUUGUAAAGCUCUGUGGAUGGGGAAAAUAAUGAUGGUACCCAUUUAGAAAGCACCGGCUAACUACGUGCCAGCAGCCGCGGUAAUACGUAGGGUGCAAGCGUUGUUCGGAAUUACUGGGCGUAAAGGGGGAGUAGGCGGAAAGAAAAGUCAGAUGUGAAAGCCCUGUGCUUAACGCAGGAAGAGCAUUUGAAACUAUCUAACUAGAGUGUAUUAUGGGAGCGUGGAAUUCCUAGUGUAGCGGUGAAAUGCGUAGAUAUUAGGAGGAAGACUCGUGGCGAAGGCGACGCUCUGGGGUAACACUGACGCUGAGGACCGAAAGCAUGGGGAGCAAACA
rnacentral:rRNA from 1 species